AUUGAACGCUGGCGGCAGGCUUAACACAUGCAAGUCGAGCGGGGUGAUGGUGCUUGCACUAUCACUUAGCGGCGGACGGGUGAGUAAUGCUUAGGAAUCUGCCUAUUAGUGGGGGACAACAUCUCGAAAGGGAUGCUAAUACCGCAUACGUCCUACGGGAGAAAGCAGGGGAUCACUUGUGACCUUGCGCUAAUAGAUGAGCCUAAGUCGGAUUAGCUAGUUGGUGGGGUAAAGGCCUACCAAGGCGACGAUCUGUAGCGGGUCUGAGAGGAUGAUCCGCCACACUGGGACUGAGACACGGCACAGACUCCUACGGGAGGCAGCAGAGGGGAAUAUUGGACAAUGGGGGGAUCCCUGAUCCAGCCAUGCCGCGUGUGUGAAGAAGGCCUUAUGGUUGUAAAGCACUUUAAGCGAGGAGGAGGCUCUUUUGGUUAAUACCCAAGAUGAGUGGACGUUACUCGCAGAAUAAGCACCGGCUAACUCUGUGCCAGCAGCCGCCGCCG
rnacentral:rRNA from 1 species